CAAAUCUUUUGCGAGUGCUGCUUACGUGGCAUCUCACAACAUUAGCACAAGGUCGCAAGGCCUUGAUGUUUACGCUUGUUUGUUUGACAGAGUUAGUUGAGACAAUAAAAAAGA
rnacentral:misc_RNA from 1 species